rnacentral:rRNA from 1 species
UCUGCAUGGAGCCAACCUUGAAAUACCACCCUUUAACGUUUGAUGUUCUAACCUAGGCCCAUAAACUGGGUCGGGGACCGUGUCUGGUGGGUAGUUUGACUGGGGCGGUCUCCUCCUAAAGAGUAACGGAGGAGCACGAAGGUUGGCUAAGCAUGGUCGGACAUCAUGCGGUUAGUGCAAAGGCAUAAGCCAGCUUGACUGCGAGAGUGACGGCUCGAGCAGGUACGAAAGUAGGUCUUAGUGAUCCGGUGGUUCUGAAUGGAAGGGCCAUCGCUCAACGGAUAAAAGGUACUCCGGGGAUAACAGGCUGAUACCGCCCAAGAGUUCAUAUCGACGGCGGUGUUUGGCACCUCGAUGUCGGCUCAUCACAUCCUGGGGCUGAAGUAGGUCCCAAGGGUAUGGCUGUUCGCCAUUUAAAGUGGUACGCGAGCUGGGUUUAGAACGUCGUGAGACAGUUCGGUCCCUAUCUGCCGUGGGCGUUGGAAGAUUGAGAGGGGUUGCUCCUAGUACGAGAGGACCGGAGUGAACGCACCACUGGUGUUCGGGUUGUCAUGCCAAUGGCAUUGCCCGGUAGCUAAGUGCGGAAGAGAUAACCGCUGAAAGCAUCUAAGCGGGAAACUUGCCUCGAGAUGAGUCUUCCCUGUCGCUUUAAGCGACCUAAAGGAACGUUUAAGACUAAGACGUUGAUAGGCUGGGUGUGUAAGCGUAG